rnacentral:rRNA from 1 species
CCUACGGGAGGCAGCAGUGGGGAAUAUUGCACAAUGGGGGAAACCCUGAUGCAGCGACGCCGCGUGAGUGAAGAAGUAAUUCGGUAUGUAAAGCUCUAUCAGCAGGGAAGAAAAUGACGGUACCUGAGUAAGAAGCCCCGGCUAACUACGUGCCAGCAGCCGCGGCAAUACGUAGGGGGCAAGCGUUAUCCGGAUUUACGGGGUGUAAAGGGAGCGUAGACGGCAGUGCAAGUCUGGAGUGAAAGGCGGGGGCUCAACCCCCGGACUGCUCUGGAAACUGUACGGCUGGAGUGCAGGAGAGGUAAGUGGAAUUCCUAGUGUAGCGGUGAAAUGCGUAGAUAUUAGGAGGAACACCAGUGGCGAAGGCGGCUUACUGGACUGUAACUGACGUUGAGGCUCGAAAGCGUGGGGAGCAAACAGGAUUAGAUACCCGGGUAGUC